rnacentral:rRNA from 1 species
GAUGAACGCUGGCGGCGUGCCUAAUACAUGCAAGUCGAGCGAACAGACGAGGAGCUUGCUCCUCUGACGUUAGCGGCGGACGGGUGAGUAACACGUGGAUAACCUACCUAUAAGACUGGGAUAACUUCGGGAAACCGGAGCUAAUACCGGAUAAUAUAUUGAACCGCAUGGUUCAAUAGUGAAAGACGGUUUUGCUGUCACUUAUAGAUGGAUCCGCGCCGCAUUAGCUAGUUGGUAAGGUAACGGCCUACCAAGGCAACGAUGCGUAGCCGACCUGAGGGGGUGAUCGGCCACACUGGAACUGAGACACGGUCCAGACUCCUACGGGAGGCAGCAGUAGGGAAUCUUCCGCAAUGGGCGAAAGCCUGACGGAGCAACGCCGCGUGAGUGAUGAAGGUCUUCGGAUCGUAAAACUCUGUUAUUAGGGAAGAACAAAUGUGUAAGUAACUAUGCACGUCUUGACGGUACCUAAUCAGAAAGCCACGGCUAACUACGUG